AAAUACACCUUUAGCCUCAAACAUCAGUCUUCCAGCAGCCUGAAUGACACAUAGCAAGGUUAAAACUGAAACACAAGACGUGCUGCUGGAAAUUAACAUGCAAAGCUCCCAUUUUGCUUCAGGGAAAGAAAAUAUAUAAGAAGUGGCACCUAAGAAAGGACAUGAGAGAAAAAGAAGAUGCUGAAACAGCACACAGGCGCCUGCAAUUUCUGUGUUUCCUAAGAGCUUGGGAAGGCUCCUGACAGCCUUUCCAUACUGACAGAAGUACUACCGCCCACUCUGUCAAAGGCAGUGAGAUACAUCAGAGCAGCAGGCUGGAAAUGGAGGAUUUGCUCCAGCAGCACACAGGCAGAAGCUGAAAGGAAACUCCUGGGAGGGAGGAAG
rnacentral:lncRNA from 1 species